rnacentral:lncRNA from 1 species
AUGAGUAAUGAUAUUAUUACCUUAGGUGUAUCUAAACGAACAUAUAAAAUUAACAUAAACAUUAAUAAUGUUUUAUCUUAUCUUAAAAAUAAAAAAAUCGAAAUAAAUAAAAAAAUGAAUACAAUAAGUAAAGAAAUACAACAUCCAUUAGAAACAAAUAAAUCACUUAAACUUAAAAUAAGUAAUAUAUAUUAUAAGUGUAAUGAUAAUGAUAUAGUAGAUUAUUUUAAAGACUGUGGUGAAAUUAAAAAAAUAUUUAUGUAUAACAUUCCAUCUAAGAAAAAAAUAAACUCAAGUUCCAACAAGGGAGAUGAAAAUCAUACGGAGAAUAUAGACACACGUAAUAAUAAAAUUAGUUCUGAUGAUUUUAAAAAAGGUAAUUAUAUAAAAUGUGCAUUAAUAGAAGUACAUGAUGUAGUGACGUCUGAUAAUAUCAUGCGUAAAAAUAACUGUUUUUUAUAUGGAAGGAAAAUACAUAUUACUUAUCAAACUCCGCAAAUAAAUAAUUCACGAUAUUUUAGAAAUGGUUAUAGGCAAGGAACACGUGGGGAUGGGUCAAAGUCAGGACCGAUAGUGGAAACAGAAAGAGGGUCACCAUCAAGGUCAAAAUCAAGACCAACAUCAAGGCCACAAUCAAGACCAACAUCAAGGCCAAAAUCAAGACUAACAUCAAGGCCAAAAUCAAGACUAACAUCAAGGCCAAAAUCAAGACCAAAAUCAAGGGUAAUAUCAAGACCACAAUCAAAACCAACAUCAAAACCAGUAGCAAAUAUUGAAGUUACGUGUAAAAGUAAAAAAUACUUUGGAGAAAAAAUAAUAGUACCAGAUAGUAAUUAUAAUAAUAGAACAAGUCAAGCAUCACAUUAUUAUAAAGAAAAGCAUAACAAGAAGUUACAAAGAAAAAGUAUUGAAAGUGAAAAUGAUAGUAAAAGACAUUUAAAAAAACAUAAAAUGGAAAUAUAUAGAAAAAGAAAAAGGAGUUUACUAAAAUGGGAAAAUAGGUCACGAGAAAGGUGUUGGAGCAGAGAAAGAAGUAUGACCAAAAGUGUAAGUGGGAGCAGAGUUAGGAUUAGAAAAAAAAAAUAUGCGCAAAAGUGA